rnacentral:rRNA from 1 species
UUUCCUACGGGAGGCAGCAGUGGGGAAUAUUGCACAAUGGGGGAAACCCUGAUGCAGCAACGCCGCGUGAGUGAAGAAGGUUUUCGGAUUGUAAAGCUCUGUUAGCAGGGAAGAGGAAGGACGGUACCUGCAGAGGAAGCCACGGCUAACUACGUGCCAGCAGCCGCGGUAAUACGUAGGUGGCGAGCGUUAUCCGGAAUGAUUGGGCGUAAAGGGUGCGUAGGCGGCCUGCUAAGUCUGGAGUGAAAGGUACCGGCUCAACCGGUACAGGCUCUGGAAACUGGCGGGCUAGAGAGCAGGAGAGG